GGUAAAAUGGCUGAGUGCAAGCAUUGAACUGUAAAUUCAAAGACAGAGAUUCCAAACCUCUUUUUACCA
rnacentral:tRNA from 1 species